UGCGGGCGCGCGCCAAACGGUCCUCGGAGACAGCAGCGUGCGCGCGCACGGCGGGGCGGCCCCUGUCCCCUUCCCCACCGCGGGCACAGCAGAAACGCAAACCGAGUGUGGAGGCCGAACGUGUCAAAGCUGCUGCCGAAGCUUCUGCAGAGGUCGUUGUCUGAGCAGCUGUAGCGGCGCCAGCGCUUCCGUGCUAAGAAACAGCCGACAAGAAACCGGAGCCGCCCAACAACAGAAAGUUACACUCACUUUGGCAGGAAUGGGAGGGCAAAAGUACCUGUGGCACCUUCACAACGUGUGUAGUGGGAUGGCACCUUCAGACGUCUGAAAGGGAGAGAGCAGUUUUGCCACUGUGAAAGAGGAAGCGGCAAAAUACAGUUUGUAUCUUUUGACUGUUGUAGCAGUGUACACUGCGGUGCAUCUUGCUUGUAGCAUGCUGAAACUUCCCGUCAUAUAAAGCUGUAAGGUUGUUUUUGAGGAGAAAAACCUGCUUAAAUGUCUUCUGGCCUUUGCGAUAUAUAGAAAAAACAAGAAAAGGAUUGCAUACUAGCAUGGCUUUACCUGUGUGUUUUAAUAUUACAGCAUAAUAGUGUGCCACAUUCUAUUUCUUUGAGAUGAAUUCCUAGUGAAUGUAGAAUUUUUAAGCGGAUGAAAUACUGACAAACAUCAUCAGUGUUCUCUUAGCUUGGUGUUAUAUCUUUGGCUUUUUUUUAAUGGUAAGUGUAGAAGUACUUAGCUCCUGCUCACGUAUGUAAGUAUAUUCAGUUGUUUGGCUUACAAAUUCUGCCGAAGUUCCUGAUCCUGAACUCUAGUUGCAGACUGCUGUGAGCAGUCACCACUGAAUGUAUGCUUGUGUGUGUGUCUGUAUAUAUGUAUGGCCAUGUGUAAAUUAGGGAACUGGAGAUUGUUGUGAUGUGGGUUUUAUCAAGACCGACCAGAAGGAGCAGCUUGCGGGGGGAGCGGGGGGGGGGGAGAUUGGGUGUUUGGUUUUACCACUGCUUUGUUUAUGUGGGCUAGACUGAGUAAUUCUGAUUCAUAGAAAUCAACUGCGUUCUCUGAUUAACAUAAAUUUUUCAGGAGGAUAAGAGUUCUAAUUCAUUCCAUAUAUUCCCUUCCCAGUCUGAGCUAUUAACAUCAAGUGCUACUAGCACUCCUUUGCAAGUUAUGGUGUGUGCAUGCAGCACUUCCUUUUGGUACAUGCUGUCUAAUGGCAUAUGAGACAUUACUAUGUUGUGAUUUAAUGACCCACAAAAUUCUCCUCUCAAAGGACUGGGACCUCACUGUGUUACCUGUUCACCUGAUUUCUGCUUGUGGUUUGUGGUCUCUGUUUACAAACAGCAACAAUGGCAACAGCAAUGGCAGCUAGUCUGGUCCUAGCUGUGAACACUGAAAAUAGUUCCUUUUCUAGAUGAUUGUCAGAGUUGGAUGCAGAGGCGGAAGUUUUCAAAGACCUACAGGAUGUAGGACUACUUCUUCCCAUUCUUAUAUGAAACAUGAGACUUGUCAUACUUAUAUUUACCCUGUCAUCCAGUAGAUGACAGAUGUUAGUGGUUCAAUAAUUGUCUGAUAAGCUUUCCCUAGUUAAAAAUUAUCUGUUCAGAAUAUGUUACUGCUACACAAAGGACUGCAUCUUCUGUUGCUACCCAAAUACAUAGCCCUGCUGAAUGCUAUGGACUUCCAUUAAAUUCUCUCAAUUAUUUUACAUUUUUUUUCAUAAAUGAUAAGCUUUUGUAGCAUAUGAAAAAUACCUACAGAAAUGUGUUUAGUGGAAAACAGGUACUAGCUGUCCAUGCUAUAAAAAUACUAGAGGUUUAGACAUAAGUGAGAGUAACUUUGGACUGUUUUGCCUGUCUUCUCUGGAGAGACUUGGACCUGUAAAUAAAACAAACUUCUCAGACAGAGUGAUAUCCAGUAGAAUCUCUUACAAUGCAAAAGGAGGAACAAGGCUAGGUACAAAUGCCAUUAUUAGGGCAGAGCAGCAGUAAAAAAAUUUAAGAACCUGCAUAUGCAAUUUGUGGUUUAUAUUGUGUCAAUCAGUAAUCAGUAUUAUCAGUAUCCUGCAGCUGUGGACAGCGUUGCUAUACUCCAGCUUCCUGAGGCUGAUAAAAAUCAUCAUUUUUGGCUCAUAUUACAAAUUAAUUUCAACCCCAAAUAUCAAAUAGUAAGGAAGGGCUGUGAUACAAUCAGAUCAAUAAAAUUCUUUUACACCUUGUUGUUCUUUGCCAUUUUUCAGGAAAUAUGCUGGAAAGCACUGUGUUUUUAGUUUGCUUGUCCAUAAAGCUGUGACAUGUCUCCAUCAUUCUGAGUUUAGUUAAUCGUUGUGUAUCUUCCCAUUCCUUCCCUCCAAUCUCUCAGGGUUGACUUUUUGCCCCCCUUUCCCUAAUGUAAGUGGCAGCAUCCAGUUUGCGUCUUGAGACUGACUGGCUUCUAUCCAGUAUGUAUGUGGUUGAUGGCAGCAAUGGAAAAAUAUUCUUAGCUUUCAGCAUGGCACAGUGUUUUGCCACUGACUUUUAAAUAUAUUCCCUUACUUUUUAAAGAUUUAAUUCUUUUCAGACUUUUGUCAGACAAUCUAUUGUAACUGUGAACUAUGAAGCAUGCUAAAUUAUCUGCUGAAUUUCUGAAUCACUCAUAUUUUCAACAGUUAACUAAAGUAGUCCAUAUGUUCUGCCCUAUCAUAUUAAACAGAAAUGUUGUGAAAUACCUCUAGUUUGCCUGUUCAAAAUAGCACCAUUACUGAGAUUGGCCCCAGUGAAUACAAUCAGCUGCAUAUUGAUUACUAACAGUAGCUGGUCCAAGAAAACACGUCAUAACCGGUCAUCUAUUUAAAAUUAAACAACAUUCCCUGUUUAGUA